CACAUGCAAGUCGAACGAUGAAGCUGUGCUUGCACAGUGGAUUAGUGGCGAACGGGUGAGUAACACGUGAGUAACCUGCCCUCCACUUUGGGAUAACUCCGAGAAAUCGGGGCUAAUACUGGAUAUGACYWUGGCCCGCAUGGGUUGUGGUGGAAAGUUUUUCGGUGGGGGAUGGGCUCGCGGCCUAUCAGUUUGUUGGUGAGGUAGUGGCUCACCAAGGCGAUGACGGGUAGCCGGCCUGAGAGGGCGACCGGCCACACUGGGACUGAGACACGGCCCAGACUCCUACGGGAGGCAGCAGUGGGGAAUAUUGCACAAUGGGCGAAAGCCUGAUGCAGCGACGCCGCGUGGGGGAUGACGGCCUUCGGGUUGUAAACCUCUUUCAGCAAGGAAGAAGCGAAAGUGACGGUACUUGCAGAAGAAGCGCCGGCUAACUACGUGCCAGCAGCCGCGGUAAUACGUAGGGCGCAAGCGUUGUCCGGAAUUAUUGGGCGUAAAGGGCUUGUAGGUGGCUUGUCGCGUCUGCCGUGAAAACYCGAGGCUUAACUUUGGGCGUGCGGUGGGUACGGGCAGGCUAGAGUGCGGUAGGGGAGACUGGAAUUCCUGGUGUAGCGGUGAAAUGCGCAGAUAUCAGGAGGAACACCGAUGGCGAAGGCAGGUCUCUGGGCCGUUACUGACACUGAGAAGCGAAAGCAUGGGGAGCG
rnacentral:rRNA from 1 species